CACGCCCGUCACACCAUGGGAGUCGAUUGCUCCAGAAGUGCCUGAGCCAACCGCAAGGAGGCAGGGCCCCAAGGAGUGAUCGGUAACUGGGGUG
rnacentral:rRNA from 1 species